ACAUUAAUCGGCUCAAUUUACAUGCACAUAUUUCACGUUUUACAAUCACUUUGGCUUGAUUUAAUCGUCAAAACGCGUACAAUAGCACAGGCUGAGUCAUAAAAUAUGAUGUUUUGUUUGUAAGUGUGCACAAAAAUCUCUGCUGCCAAUUAUGUACUGUAACCCUUCAGGCUAUCCUAAUCUACACAAUGGGUUAAGGUUUCCAAAUUAUUCAAGGAUAAUGUAUACAUUUGUUUAUUUUCUGGUAUGACAUGGCUCUUCCAAACAAUGGAAACAUUCACUACUCACAAAUAGUUUUCAUGAUGUUCUGAAAAUGCACAAUAACCUUUACAGGUGAACUUAAUGCGACCUGUAAACUUUUGUAUUCCCCACUGUUGAAUGUUUCAGUACUUGUGCACAACCUGCUGCUCUGGAAUAAUGACGUGAAGGGCAAAAUUCAACACAGGAUGUUCUCGGAGUGGCCACUGAACUUGGAGUUAGCAACUUUGAGUCUCCUUUGAAUUCUCACCAACAAUUGCCGACAAUGGCAUGAUCGUCAGACUGGCGAGUGAUUCCAAGGACAAGCGCAAGCGUGAGAAAUUCCCGGCGCGGAGGAGUCAGCAAAGCCCCUCGACAGAACAUCCGUCGACCGCUUUGAUGCUGCAGCCAAUGGUUCUCCAGGAGACAGCCUGAAAGAAAACUCGGGUCAACCGUGCUGAAAAUCCAAGUCGAACUCCUCGUCAGGGCUAAGCAGCGCCGACCGCCAAUGCGUUGACUCGACCUCGUGACGGAUGGCGGCGUCGAAAAGUACUAAGACCACCCCCGCAAGACUUCAUUUGGCUGAAGCGAGCGGGCGCCGUGCCCCGAGGGGCUUCCAACACGCAACUGCCGUCGAGGCGCCAAGGUUAGCACUUGAAGGCAGCCCCCCCCCCCCCCGUUCGGAGAUUGAAUGCGGUCCAAGUAAUUCCGUCUGCUUCCCUCCCGGGCAUUGCGCAGGCGGUGAUUGACUCAUGUGUGGUCCAAGGAGGUUGUUUGACGUCAAAAGUCUGCGGUGAUCGCAGGAAUGUGGAGAAGCCCCCCCUCCACCUUGAGAUAAGGGCAACGUUGCAGCCAGAGAAAUGUCUGCGGUGAUCACAGGAAUGUGGAGACGUGAAAUGCAAUGUGCUCUCGGAGCGGCGAAGCACUUAUCAAUCUGUACUUCCACAUGUGAAAUUUCUUUGUCAUCUUGUGUUCCUUCAAAUAAAGCUGAAAUAACCAACAAUUCUUUGGUGUUCUUUUUGUUAAAGUCAGUCGC